GCCUCAAUUUCAGUGUCACAGACAAAACUUUAACCCUUCCUAGUCUUGUCACUACUGUACCGACUGCUGCUGGCGGUCGUUGCAAACGUUUUCCCUGCAGUGUUCAACACAGCACACCCUAGUGAAUCCUCGGGGCUCGUUUCCCAGGUUAUGCUAAUCCCGAGCUAGGAGGGAGAUGGCCAAGCUUGCAUUCACAUGGUACGCUGGAUGGGGAAAAGAGUAUCGUUAGCACCAAAUGAAUAUUGAUUGUCUGGUAUGUAGAUUUGCCGGAAAGUAAUUGCUUGGAGUCAAGGAAUCUGUUGGGGAUGAUCUGUGUUUGGACACCUGAGCCUCUGCAGAACAUGACUGAUUGUGCUGUUCUUUCAAGGACCUACUCAAAGCAGGUACAUAUUUCGUGAUAGAGCAACUAAUAGCUAGAGAACUCUGCCGUGAAACUAUACGGCAACCCAGCUUUAGCAGCAGGAGCUGAUGAAGAGAAGUCCUAUGGACUGUGCUAUGCUAUGACGGAUGUUCACUGUGAUCCCUUCUGCCCUUGAGAUCUGUGUGUAUCCGAGCUGUCUGCAGAGAACCCACAGAGUUUUGAAACCAGCCAAUUAAAUAGCUGCAGUGGUGGCCGGUUACUGCAUAGCAAGACUGUGGAAGCAAAACUAGAGAGACCUGGAAGAGAAACUGUGCAACAACUUCAAUCUCUCAAGCCAAAAGCAGAGAUAAAUAAAACUUGCAAGUGACCUUGGAUUGCAAUCCAAUGAAAGCUAGGUCAGAAAGCAGAAGGAGAAAGCAGCAACAACUAAGUUUGGAAAGAUACUGCGUUUGGAAAGGAACAGACAAGAUGCUGUAAUAGUUCUCCUUUAUCUUGAGAUAUUUAUGGUAGGAAAAAGAUAUAAAUAACUUGAAGUGGAUAGGUCUAAUACUAUUUGAUCUAUUGAUGUGUGUGUGCUCUUACUUUACAAUUUUACAAAGAAACCAAUCAAAAAGUGGCCUGAAAAAAGGUCCUGUGUAGAUCCUCCAUGAAGCAAGGAGGAAACAAUUGACUUGGUAAAUUCUCUUGUUUUCCUUGGGGUAAUAACAUUCCUC